ACGGGGGCAGCAGCUAAGAAUAUUCCGCAAUGGACGAAAGUCUGACGGAGCGACGCCGCGUGGAUGAUGAAGGUCGGAAGAUUGUAAAAUCCUUUUAUGACUGAGGAAUAAGUGAAGUGAGAGAAACGCUUCAUGGUGACUGUAGGUCAUGAAUAAGCAACGGCUAAUUACGUGCCAGCAGCCGCGGUAACACGUAAGUUGCGAGCGUUGUUCGGAAUUAUUGGGCGUAAAGGGCAUGUAGGCGGUUUUGCAAGCUUGGUGUGAAAUCCCGGAGCUCAACUCCGGAAUUGCGUUGAGAACUGCAUAACUAGAGUCACUGAGGGGCAAUCAGAAUUCCAGGUGUAGGGGUGAAAUCUGUAGAUAUCUGGAAGAAUACCAAUGGCGAAGGCAGGUUACCAGCAGAUGACUGACGCUGAGGUGCGAAGGUGCGGGGAGCAAACAGGAUUAGAUACCCUGGUA
rnacentral:rRNA from 1 species